rnacentral:rRNA from 1 species
GGCCUGGUUGGGUGGUCUUGCCGCAAGGUAAGCACUGCUCCGAUCGGGUCUUUCCUUCUGGGGAACCAGCGUGCUCUUAAUUGGGUGCGCUGGGGAUCCAGGACUUUUACUUUGAAAAAAUUAGAGUGUUCAAAGCAGGCAUUUCGCUUGAAUACAUUAGCAUGGAAUAAUGGAAUAGGA